rnacentral:rRNA from 1 species
UACGGAGGGAGCUAGCGUUGUUCGGAAUUACUGGGCGUAAAGCGCACUAGGCGGCUUUGUAAGUUAGAGGUGAAAGCCCGGGGCUCAACCCCGGAAUAGCCUUUAAGACUGCAUCGCUUGAAUCCGGGAGAGGUGAGUGGAAUUCCGAGUGUAGAGGUGAAAUUCGUAGAUAUUCGGAAGAACACCAGUGGCGAAGGCGGCUCACUGGCCCGAUACUGACGCUGAGGCACGAAAGCG